rnacentral:misc_RNA from 1 species
AACGAUGGCAGAUAUUGCAGUUGGAACGGAGAACAAAAUUGCUCUGCACUUCAACAAGGUCUUUUGGCCAAAUGUAGAGUUUCUGGGUGUAGUCUCAUCUACUUCUUAUGGUUGCAGCUAUUUCCUUAAUCUUCAUAAGGCUACAGGUCAUCCUGUCCUUAUUUACAUGCCUGCAGGUAGGCUUGCCCAUGACAUUGAAAAAAUGUCUGACGAAGCGG